GCGUGGUAGUACUACCAGACUACUUGUCUCGAGUGGUUUCUCUGCUCGCUCGAUGCGUCGCGGGACAGGCACCGCGUGGUGGUUGCUCGUCGCAGCCGCCGCGCUCCUGGUCCUGGUUCUGCCGCUGCUCGCCUCCUGCGCGGCCUCCGCACGUCCUCCUCCAGUGCCGCCGCGAGGUGGCGGCGACGCCGGGCUGGGUGGAGGGAGGGAGCUAGCGGCCAUGGGAGCUGCGAGGCGGUUGGGGCAGAGGACGCCGGUGAACAAGCCUCCCUCACCCAACCCCCACCGCGCGUCGGCGACGGCCGUGCCGCCGCCACCGCCUGACUAGCUAGGACCAAGGUCAGGGGCGGGAGUAGUAAAUGCUUUGCUGAUACGUGUAUGCAAUGGUGCCUGCGAUCGCCUAGCUAGGCAACUAGCUAUGUUCUUCCUGGUCGGUAUCAGAGAAGAAACAACUAGCAGCUGUGCACAAUACUUGUUUUGCUUCCGAUAAAUCAUGGAACAGGAAACAUGUGGGGAUAUACACCAACUGAUAACCUUGAUAAAUUCGAU
rnacentral:rRNA from 1 species